AUUGAACGCUGGCGGCAUGCCUUACACAUGCAAGUCGAACGGCAGCACGGGGCAACCUGGUGGCGAGUGGCGAACGGGUGAGUAAUGCAUCGGAACGUGCCAUUGAGUGGGGGAUAACGUAGCGAAAGUUGCGCUAAUACCGCAUAUUCUGUGAGCAGGAAAGCAGGGGACCGCAAGGCCUUGCGCUCUUUGAGCGGCCGAUGUCAGAUUAGCUAGUUGGUGAGGUAACGGCUUACCAAGGCGACGAUCUGUAGCGGGUCUGAGAGGAUGAUCCGCCACACUGGAACUGAGACACGGUCCAGACUCCUACGGGAGGCAGCAGUGGGAAUUUGGACAAUGGGCGCAAGCCUGAUCCAGCCAUGCCGCGUGAGUGAAGAAGGCCUUCGGGUUGUUAAGGA
rnacentral:rRNA from 1 species